rnacentral:ncRNA from 1 species
GCGGUACCGGUUCACGUCCCGGACCGGACGACCCGGCGACC